rnacentral:rRNA from 1 species
UACGAACCGUACAAACGUUAUUCGGAAUCACUGGGCUUAAAGGGUGCGUAGGCGGCCAUGUAAGUGGGGUGUGAAAUCCCUCGGCUCAACCGAGGAACUGCGCUUCAUACUGCAUGGCUUGAGGGAGACAGGGGUAAGCGGAACUGAUGGUGGAGCGGUGAAAUGCGUUGAUAUCAUCAGGAACACCGGUGGCGAAAGCGGCUUACUGGGUCUCUUCUGACGCUGAGGUACGAAAGCUAGGGGAGCGAACGGG